CCCCACUCCGCCUCAGCCCACUCCACAAAUCGACCCGGCCUUCUUCAUCUUCAGCACAAUAACACGCACCCAGGAGCAAUCCAUCCAACACACAAUAGCUGUAUUAACAGCGUGCCAAAAAGUCAACCACGGCAAAAACAACGUUCAACAGCCCCGUGCAAGAACAACAACAUCAACGGUAGAAAACCCAGCUUCCCCAUUCACUGUUCUACCCCUUCAGUACAUCCAUUUGUGGCUAAAAAAUUAAGGACUUUUAGGUGUUCAGUCCAUGAUUCCCUGAUUUGGGCAAGAAUCAAUUCUUUCUUUUCUCCUGUCUCACUAUGGAUAUCAAAAAUUUUAGAAACAACUUUGAAAUUUUGAAUUUGAAGUCCACUCUUUCAAAACCCUACCUUCCCCUAUAAAUAGAUAGCAGCAAGGGACAAGGGUGAAGGAGGAGGAUUUUGGAGAAAAAUUGAAAGUUAUGAAGGCGUUUGCUUUUAACCUCACGAAACCAAAAUUCUCGAUGAAUACACUUUGAAAACUGAAUUUCGACGAAACUGUUGAACUCCGGCAAGGCUAAUCGACAUUCUGGUGGUGAAAGUCCAUCUGUCGAAGGCUCGUUUGUUUCUUUCGCUGCCCGAAAAUAGGUACCGAACCGACAACCUAUGGACAUUGAUUUCUUUGGUUUCUUCUGUGUUAGCAUCCUUGGAUAUUCAAAGAUGUUGCUAUUAUAUUCAGAGACUACUAAAAUCUCCUCUAACCUUAUUUUAAUGUAUUUUCCACAUUUUAAGAUAUUAAAACUCUUGUUUUGAAUUUUGUAUUUGGUGACUUGUAUUAGUGAACUGAGAUUAUCUAUGUUUUAACUA